GAUGAAGAACGUAGCGAAAUGCGAUACUUGGUGUGAAUUGCAGAAUCCCGUGAACCAUCGAGUCUUUGAACGCAAGUUGCGCCUCAAGCCAUUAGGUUGAGGGCACGUCUGCCUGGGCGUCACAUAUCGUUGCCUGAUGCCAGUUUCCUCGUGAUGGGUGACUGUGCAGGGCGAAUGAUGGCUUCCCGUGAGCAUUGUUGCCUCAUGGUUGGUUGAAAAUUGAGUCCUUGGUAGGGAGCGCCGUGAUAGAUGGUGGUUGAGUGACGAACGAGACCCAAUCAUGUGAGACCCCUACCGAAUUUGGCCUUCAUGACCCACAUGCGUCUUUGGAACGCUCAUGACGAGACCUCAGGUCAGGCGGGGCUACCCGCUGAGUUUAAGCAUAUCAAAGCGGAGGA
rnacentral:misc_RNA from 1 species